rnacentral:lncRNA from 1 species
AAAAAUUGUGCUCUAUAGUAAUUGUCAUGUGCUUUUCUUUCAGUCUGACAUUAACAGAAAAACCUGAUGUGUUUAAAGAGAUGGGAAGGAAUUGGAUGGGCACGUGGCUUCAUUUGCCAUCACAAAUAUUUCAAGACAACCCACAUGACUACAGUAAGAUUCCUGAUGCAGAAUCUAAAUGUAGGUCUGCCAAGUGCGGAGGUGGGGGAUCAUUUUAGUGAGGGAUACAGUACGCAGUGUUGGCAUGGCA